rnacentral:lncRNA from 1 species
GCGAGCUCCCACAUUCACCACUCCUGGGGUGAGCAUGCCCCGCAGCCAGCAGCCCUGCGACGCUGGGCCCGGCCCGGCCGGCGUCUCCCGAGGCUGCAGCGCUGCCUGCCGUACGCACACCAGUUGCUAGGCGCCCGGGGCCUCGCGCCUCAGUUCCAUAGGGCAAGGGGCCCAGUGUUAGGGUUCAGGGCCAUGACGGGUGCUUGGACAGCUUGGGCAGCGGAGGCCACCGGGACUCCUCGACCAGCACUAGUGCCUCUGCCUUCAGGUCACUGCUGCCGAGUAUGGGGGUAAUGUGGGGGAGUGAGCUGAAUCAAAACUGGGUGAACACUGGUCAGUGGUGACACAAGAGGGAGGCAGGAGGAAGAUCAAAGACGAUGGAAGCAGAGAUGCCACGAACCAAGAAAAGCAAGGGGCUCCCAGAACUGGAAAAGGCAAAGAAAAGGAGUCUUCAGAAGUAACACAGGCCUGCUGACCCCUUGAUUUGGCUGUGAAACCUAUUUUAGAUUUCUGACCUCCAGAAAAGUUAAAACAAUAAAUUCACUUAAGUUUAUGGUCAUUUGUUACAGCAGCAAAAGAAAACUAAUACAUUCACUUAACACUGAGUGCCUACAUGUCAGCAAAUGGGCAGAAAUUAAAAGGCCUGGCCUUAAAGUUUACUACCUAACAGAAGGGAGGCACAUGAGAGGAAUGUUUUGGCUCUUUGACACCACAUUUCUAAGGAAAACCACUGGGAGCAGAAAGCUGUCAAUCUUCCCAUGGAGGUGGGCCCACAAAGACACCAGACACCCCUAAGAAGCUCUAUCACAUCCUAUACAUCCCCAGGGCACUCAUUUCACUGUAUCUGUUGCCUGUCUUCCCAUCAGACUGAUACCUGAAAGCAGAGGCUAUUUUCCGUAAUUCACUGUUGUGUGCCCACAUUAAGUGCUGAAGCUAUACUGCACAGCAGCAUUGAGCACUUUCGAGCUAGGCGCUGCUCUAAGCAUUUUACAGGACCUGUUAACAUUUAAUCUUCAUUAAAAUCCUAUGAAAUUAGGCAAAAUUAUCUCCAUUUUGCUGACAUGGAAACCGAGACAGAGAUUAUUUAUUGGCCCACGCUAACAAAUAAGUGGAGACUAGAUAUGAACCCAAGCACUCUGGCUCCGAAGCCAACACUCCUAAUCCAGCGAACCACAAAUGAACCUUCAAAGAAGUUACUAACUAGGUUAACACUGGUUAAAGGCCAGUGAGUCCAAGACAACUUUAUAAAAACUGAGAUAGCUAAGGGACCAUCCACUAGAGAAAGCCGGACCUUAGAAGGAUGAACAGGAAAUAAACAUAUAUGAGGUGUAAUCUUGUAGGAGAACCUACUGGGUGCCCAGACCCCUAAGGUUGGUUAGGCCUUCCAGAGGAGGAUCCCUUGAAAGCAAUGACAUUUAUAAGAAGUGAGUUUCCUAAUCAGGUGUUAAUCUGCAUUUGAAUAGGUUCCACCAGCUCACAAACAUUUUCGUACCUAUUAUUGUUCCUCACAAUCCUCUUAUAAAACCAGAUUGGUUAUCCCACUUUACUCUGUUCUCUAUGGGAAUCCUGGUUCUCUGCAACCCCUCCCACAUUUCCCCAUCCUCCCUGGCCCCAGGCCACACUUACAAUAUGUGUCUGCAUGGGCUAUAUAUUUAUAUAUUUUUUUUUAAAAAAAGCUUUGCUAAGUAUCUCUCUGUAUAUAAAGUGCUUAUUCCUAUCCCAAUGAAGACUUCCCACAUUUCAUGCACCCACCCACCUGCACCUAGAUUAAGCAAGCAAUACACCAUCUGUACAACUUCAUUCCAUAAUUAGUCUUAAUUCUGACCCUGCAGAGGCCACUGAUGGCCCUCACUAUUCCUCUAAAACCUGGAAGCCAAACAGGCUCUGACAUCUUCUGAGGCACAACUACCCUUCAUGACACUGGAUGUGCUAACACUGGGAACUGUACUCUCUAUCUACCAAAGCAGUAAGACAAAACUGAAUUUAUAACUUAAAAACCCUCUGGAGGCAGUGGGUCAUGCCUGUAAUCCCAACUAUUCAGGGGACUGAGGCAGUAGGAUUGCUUGAGGCCAGGAGUUCAGUAACAUGCUGGGGAAUACAGGCUGGUGUGGAUCUCAUCUCUACAAAGGAAAAUUAAAAAAUAAACUCUUUGGCUCUACCUAGAUAUCCAUGUACUAUUUCAAAAUAUUGACCCAACUGCUAAGACAAAAAACAUCUAGCAAAACACUGAUACAAUCAUAAAUAUGUAAAAUGAUUUUUAUAAACGAUCAUCUUGAUUUCUCUCCAAAAUUCACUGACCCUAAACAAACUUACUAAGCCAGAGAAAUAGGUCCCAAAACCAGGAACAAAGAACUCAAAGAAAUUCUAUUUGUCUAGCAACUUUCGAAUAUUAAAAAGCAAUAAAUGACUGUGGAGCAGUAGUACCAAAAUAAUUACUAAGGGAGCUGUUUCAGUGUGUCAGAACUUUGACAACUAAAUGAGGACCACAAACAUUUUUACUCUCAUUCUAUGUACUUCAUGUUACACUCUACAUUGUUCACUAGUCUAGGUGAAACAAUACAUGAAGUAUAAAGGAAUGUUAUUUACAAAAAAACCUUUGAAGUUUUUGCCCAUUAAUUUCAUCAGAUGCUCUGAAAUAAUUUGCAUCCCUGGGCACAAAUUUCAUGCCUUCCUUCAUAAUACCCACAGUAUGUAACAAUUAUUAGUAACUCACGUAAGUAUGGCAAAAGAUGCAAAACAAGAACACAAAAAUGGAAUGCAAAAGGAAAACAACACAUUUACAUGGCAGUUUAUAAACAAGCGAAGGCCCGAGAAAUAAAUUUUAGCAACUAAAUUCAAUUUUUUCCAUAAACCAAAGUUGGAUUACCUUACCGACAAAUCAUGUACAAAUGCUUGUGAAACAGGCUUUCUUAGAAUAAACCCAUUUCGAAUCACUCAGCACAGUUAAAAAACAAAAAAUUAAAAUCUUUUGUAUAGAAAAGCCUUUUAAAAACCCAAGAGAUGUCUUUCACACAGACUCGACCCUGAUUUUGCACGAAAUGGGCUGUUGAUUUGGCUUAAUUUUAUCACACACCACACUUGCCACAGUAGUUAAGGGAAGACAGAGGCAGGCUAACAACAACAACAACAAAUCACAAAUACAACAAUAUAUUUCAAUUUGAGAGCAGGUACUGUUUAUUAA